AGGAGAUACAGCUGAAGAGUUCCCUGUGGAAGUGCAAGUGUAUCCCCCUUGGGAAAGUCAUGGACCCAGCAGGUAUCAAAAUGGAGCAGGAUCUUUGUGAGGUUUCUUUAUUCUAGAUUUGCAAGUUUAGAACUUAAAAUUUUAAUCAUUUACCUCUUAAAACUGGCUCUUAACAAAACAAAUUUCAAGAGAGUCCUAUUUAAGACAAACUUACCUGUAGAUAGCACUCAAGCUGAAAAUCUACAUGGGAGGUCAGCGACCCCCGUGGAGGAUCAGCGACCCCCGUGGAGGAUCAGCGACCCCAG